GCCUUCCAAAGUGCUUUCAGAGUACAGGGACCUGAUAACUUGUCAAAAGGGGCUCAGGAAGGGAGGCUAAACCCUGAAACUGUUCAGAGAAAGGAGUGGGUUCCCAGCAGAGCCCUGGAAAGGUGAGGGGCUGGAGCUGGGGGAGAGGAGGUCGACAGCAGAGACACCAUGGAGACAGGUAUGUGCAUGAGUCAACAGCUUCCCACUCCUCAUCCCUCCAUCCCCUCACACACACAAAUCAUACAGCAACAGGGUUUCCUAGCAUAAAUAAUGUGGGGGUAUUCCAGAAAAAGACACCCCUGUAAGGUGGGAUUUAGGCUGGCCUGAGAGUGGGCUUCCUACACAGUCUCUACAGCAAAGCCCAGCGCUUGACAAGUCCUGCUUUUGAAUGCAAACUCCUUGUGAGCUUCCUAACACCUCAGUCUUAGUCUCUUUAAGACUGCUAAGGAUAUUGGGUAUUUGGGAAGACUUUCAACAUGAACAAUAGAGACCAACGUAAAUUAGAAAGAUGACGUGAGAAGAAAUAGAAACACAGAGAAAUGAAGAGCAUUCUGGAACCUCGUUAGAACAUUCCUAGAACAAACACAGAAUGCUUCAAGAAACAGCCCAAGAAAAGGCUAUCAGGAGAUAAAAUGACAAUAGAUUAAAAUUACCGCAGGCUCUUGGAUUCUUACUUUUGGAGAAGUCAGCCUAAGAAAUCUACCCAGAAACUCAUGUGGAAAAGACACACAAAGGUAGAUGCAGAGCCAGCCCUGAGCUGUGUGGCCACCCCAAUGUCAGACACAUGAAUGGAAAUGGAAUUCCAGCCUAGGUGAGCCUUCAGACAGCACCACCCCUAGGUUCUGUCACCACAACUCUUAGGAGGAGCCACUCAGCUGGGCUCAGUGAACCCACAG
rnacentral:lncRNA from 1 species